AGGCAGCAGUGGGGAAUAUUGCACAAUCGGGGGAAACCCUGAUGCAGCCAUGCCGCGUGUGUGAAGAAGGCCUUCGGGUUGUAAAGCACUUUCAGUAGGGAGGAAGGUAGUGUAGUUAACACCUGCAUUAUUUGACGUUACCUACAGAAGAAGCACCGGCUAACUCCGUGCCAGCAGCCGCGGUAAUACGGAGGGUGCGAGCGUUAAUCGGAAUUACUGGGCGUAAAGCGCAUGCAGGCGGCCUGUUAAGUCAGAUGUGAAAGACCCGGGGCUUAACCUCGGAAUUGCAUUUGAAACUGGCAGGCUAGAGUCUUGUAGAGGGGGGUAGGAAUUUCAGGUGUAGCGGUGAAAUGCGUAGAGAUCUGAAGGAAUACCAGUGGCGAAGGCGGCCCCCUGGACAAAGACUGACGCUCAGAUGCGAAAGCGUGGGGAGCAAACAGGAUUAGAUACCCUGGUAG
rnacentral:rRNA from 1 species